CAGUCGCCGCGGGAAUACGUAGGGCGCAAGCGUUAUCCGGAAUUAUUGGGCGUAAAGAGCUCGUAGGCGGUUUGCCGCGUCUGCCGUGAAAGUCCGGGGCUCAACCCCGGAUCUGCGGUGGGUACGGGCAGACUAGAGUGAUGUAGGGGAGACUGGAAUUCCUGGUGUAGCGGUGAAAUGCGCAGAUAUCAGGAGGAACACCGAUGGCGAAGGCAGGUCUCUGGGCAUUAACUGACGCUGAGGAGCGAAAGCAUGGGGAGCGAACAGGAUUAGAUACCCCCGUAGUCCCUGUCUCUUAUAC
rnacentral:rRNA from 1 species